rnacentral:rRNA from 1 species
GCGAGUGAACCGGGAAGAGCUCAAAUUUGAAAUCUGGCGUGCUCAGUGCGUCCGAGUUGUAAUCUAUAGAGGCGUUUUCCGUGCCGGACUGUGUCCAAGUCCCUUGGAACAGGGUAUCAAAGAGGGUGAUAAUCCCGUACUUGACACAAUGACCGGUGCUCUGUGAUACGUCUUCUACGAGUCGAGUUGUUUGGGAAUGCAGCUCAAAAUGGGUGGUGAGUUCCAUCUAAAGCUAAAUAUUGGCGAGAGACCGAUAGCGAACAAGUACCGUGAGGGAAAGAUGAAAAGCACUUUGGAAAGAGAGUUAAACAGUACGUGAAAUUGUUAAAAGGGAAACGAUUGAAGUCAGUCGUGACUGAGAGGCUCAGCCGGUUCUGCCGGUGUAUUCCCCUCAGUCGGGUCAACAUCAGUUUUGUUCGGUGGAUAAGGGCAGCUGGAAGGUAGCACCCUCGGGUGUGUUAUAGCCAGUUGUCGCAUACAUCGGAUGAGACUGAGGAAUGCAGCUCGCCUUUAUGGCCGGGGUUCGCCCACGUCCGAGCUUAGGAUGUUGACAUAAUGGCUUUAAACGACCCGUCUUGAA